GACGUAGGGCGCGAGCGUUGUCCGGAUUUAUUGGGCGUAAAGAGCUCGUAGGCGGCUUGUUGCGUCGACUGUGAAAACCCGCGGCUCAACCGUGUGGUCUGCAGUCGAUACGGGCAGGCUGGAGUUCGGUAGGGGAGACUGGAAUUCCUGGUGUAGCGGUGAAAUGCGCAGAUAUCAGGAGGAACACCGGUGGCGAAGGCGGAUCUCUGGGCCUUACCUGACGCUGAGGCGCGAAAGCUAGGGGAGCAAACAGG
rnacentral:rRNA from 1 species